UACGUAGGGCGCAAGCGUUGUCCGGAAUUAUUGGGCGUAAAGAGCUCGUAGGCGGUUUGUCGCGUCUGCUGUGAAAGCCCGGGGCUCAACCCCGGGUCUGCAGUGGGUACGGGCAGACUAGAGUGCGGUAGGGGAGACUGGAAUUCCUGGUGUAGCGGUGAAAUGCGCAGAUAUCAGGAGGAACACCGAUGGCGAAGGCAGGUCUCUGGGCUGUAACUGACGCUGAGGAGCGAAAGCAUGGGGAGCGAACAGG
rnacentral:rRNA from 1 species